UGAAGUCAAGCUUCUCUAUGAUGAAUGUAUUUUGAUGAAGACAAAGCUCCAAGUAACAAAAAGGAAAAGAUGUUACUAAAUGAUAAAGCAUCUUGAUUCAAGAAGUUAAGCUAUUACAUUUCAAGAAGGUAUAAUGAGAAUAUUUACCUUCACUAAAGUCUUAGAUGCUCAAGUAUUCAAACAUUCAUUGCAUAACCUUUCC
rnacentral:lncRNA from 1 species